rnacentral:ncRNA from 2 species
AAUAUUAUAAUACAGAUUACAUAUAUAGAUCCAUAAUAAGGAUGGACGUUUCUACUAGCUGCCGUAAAUAGCAAACUAUACGUAAUUCAUAGGAAUUA